rnacentral:rRNA from 1 species
AGGACGAACGCUGGCGGCGUGCUUAACACAUGCAAGUCGAACGGAAAGGCCCUUUCGGAGGUGCUCGAGUGGCGAACGGGUGAGUAACACGUGGGUGAUCUGCCCUGCACUUUGGGAUAAGCCUGGGAAACUGGGUCUAAUACCGGAUAGGACUACGGCCUGCAUGGGUUGUGGUGGAAAGCUUUUGCGGUGUGGGAUGGGCCCGCGGCCUAUCAGCUUGUUGGUGGGGUGAUGGCCUACCAAGGCGACGACGGGUAGCCGGCCUGAGAGGGUGUCCGGCCACACUGGGACUGAGAUACGGCCCAGACUCCUACGGGAGGCAGCAGUGGGGAAUAUUGCACAAUGGGCGCAAGCCUGAUGCAGCGACGCCGCGUGAGGAUGACGGCCUUCGGGUUGUAAACCUCUUUCAGCAUCGACGAAGCGCAAGUGACGGUAGAUGCAGAAGAAGCACCGGCCAACUACGUGCCAGCAGCCGCGGU